AGCGGCUCCUCGCGUGGCGCCACCCAGGCCAACUCCCCCAGGACGGAAACGUAGCAAGGGUAACCCGGCUCUGGCGGGUGCGCGGGGAGUCAUUUAC
rnacentral:SRP_RNA from 1 species